rnacentral:rRNA from 1 species
UAUCCUACGGGAGGCAGCAGUGAGGAAUAUUGGUCAAUGGUCGGGAGACUGAACCAGCCAAGCCGCGUGAGGGAGGAAGGUACAGAGUAUCGUAAACCUCUUUUGUCAGGGAACAAAGGCGGGGACGUGUCCCCGGAUGAGUGUACCUGAAGAAAAAGCAUCGGCUAACUCCGUGCCAGCAGCCGCGGUAAUACGGAGGAUGCGAGCAUUAUCCGGAUUUAUUGGAUUUAAAGGGUGCGCAGGCGGUCUGGUAAGUCAGCGGUCAAAGCCCGGGGCUCAACCCCGGCCCGCCGUUGAAACUGGAG